AAGAAAUCUAAAAGUGCAUUAGUCGAGGAACAUUCAGGCAAGGCUAACUUUAGGAGCCUGGUAACCUCACUCGAUUCACCAAUUUGUAUGAUGUGGUUCUGUUGGCUUCAUCAAGCCGUGAUCUCCAACUCCCACUGGAGCGGUUCGCAGCCGAGUGUGAAGCGGCUGGGAAGAGAAUCAGCACCUCCGAAUCUGAGACCGUGGUCCUCAGUCGGAAAAGGGUGGCGUUCCCUCUCCGGGUCGGGGGUGAGAUCCUGCCCCAAGUGGAAGAGUUCAAGUAUCUUGGGGUCUUGUUCACGAGUGAGGGAAGAAUCGAACGGGAGAUCGGCAGGCUGAUCGGUGCAGCCCCGGGGGCGACCCAGGACACGCUGGAGAAACUACGUCUCUCGGCUAGCCUGGGAACGCCUCGGGAUCCCCCCGGAAGAGCUGGAUGAAGUGGCUGGGGAGAGGGAAGUCUGGGCGUCCCUGCUAAAGCUACUGCCCACGUGACCUGACCUCGGAUAAGCGCACCGAAAUCCGAUUUCCUGCGGCGGCGCCGGCCUCACCGUGAUGACGUCCCCCGCCUGGCAGUCGACGUCGACGCUAUCAUACUCCACGCUGACGACCUCGUCGGGCUCGGCCGCGAAGAAGGCGGCGCAGUUGAGCUGGGGACGCUCGGCCGUGAAGUGGUCGUCGGUACAGGAUCAGGUCCUGGUCUGUCUCCCUGCGCAGCUCUGAGUUGAAGAAGGAGUAUAAUUCAUCCUUUAGGACGUCAUUAUCCUGCACGGUAGAGGAGAGGAGAAUGUUCGCCUGACGGUGAUGAGGAUGUCGGUGAGUGAAGACCGUCCUACCUCGAUAUAUCUGCAGUCUCCCUUCAGGACACACAAGCUCAAGACCAAGAAGAGGCGUUGCCGCAAAGUGCGCUCCAUCGUCAUCGUGGUCGUCGCAUCGUCGGAGCCUCCGUGGGGCCGCCGCCGCCUUUUAUAAGUUCUGCCAGGACCACCUGCCAGCUGCCCCGAGCCCCAUUACCAAGUGAUUGCGCACUUGUGACGAGGGCGAGGAUGGUGACAGUGAGGAAAGGGAGGGGGAGGGGGGGGGGGGGGGCGGGGUGUCAACACCGAGGGUGG